CCCUUAGAUGCCCUGGGCCGCACGCGCGCUACACUGAUGCAUUCAACGAGUUUUACCUUGGCCGAGAGGCCUGGGCAAUCUUUUAAACCUGCAUCGUGAUAGGGAUAGAUUAUUGCAAUUAUUAAUCUUGAACGAGGAAUUCCUAGUAAACGCAAAUCAUCAAUUUGCAUUGAUUACGUCCCUGCCCUUUGUGCACACCGCCCGUCGCACCUACCGAUUGAAUGGUCCGGUGAAGCCUCGGGAUUGUGGCCAGUUCACUUUAUUGGGAGUUGGCUGUGAGAACUUGUCUAAACCUUAUCAUUUAGAGGAAGGUGAAGUCGUAACA
rnacentral:rRNA from 1 species